rnacentral:rRNA from 1 species
GAUGAACGCUGGCGGCGUGCUUAACACAUGCAAGUCGAACGAUGAACCGGGUGCUUGCACUCGGGGAUUAGUGGCGAACGGGUGAGUAACACGUGAGCAACCUGCCCCUGACUCUGGGAUAAGCGCUGGAAACGGCGUCUAAUACUGGAUAUGUCCCGUCACCGCAUGGUGUGCGGGUGGAAAGAUUUUUCGGUUGGGGAUGGGCUCGCGGCCUAUCGGCUUGGUGGUGAGGUAAUGGCUCACCAAGGCGUCGACGGGUAGCCGGCCUGAGAGGGUGACCGGCCACACUGGGACUGAGACACGGCCCAGACUCCUACGGGAGGCAGCAGUGGGGAAUAUUGCACAAUGGGCGGAAGCCUGAUGCAGCAACGCCGCGUGAGGGAUGACGGCCUUCGGGUUGUAAACCUCUUUUAGCAGGGAAGAAGCGAGAGUGACGGUACCUGCAGAAAAAGCACCGGCUAACUACGUGCCAGCCGCCGCGGUAA